rnacentral:rRNA from 1 species
UAGGGAAUCUUCCACAAUGGACGCAAGUCUGAUGGAGCAACGCCGCGUGAGUGAAGAAGGUUUUCGGAUCGUAAAGCUCUGUUGUUGGUGAAGAAGGAUAGAGGCAGUAACUGGUCUUUAUUUGACGGUAAUCAACCAGAAAGUCACGGCUAACUACGUGCCAGCAGCCGCGGUAAUACGUAGGUGGCAAUCGUUGUCCGGAUUUAUUGGGCGUAAAGCGAGCGCAGGCGGAAUGAUAAGUCUGAUGUGAAAGCCCACGGCUCAACCGUGGAACUGCAUCGGAAACUGUCAUUCUUGAGUGCAGAAGAGGAGAGUGGAAUUCCAUGUGUAGCGGUGGAAUGCGUAGAUAUAUGGAAGAACACCAGUGGCGAGGGCGGCUCUCUGGUCUGCAACUGACGCUGAGGCUCGAAAGCAUGGGUAGCGAACAGG